rnacentral:lncRNA from 1 species
GAAGAAGAAAGAAGACUGGCAACAGUUGUUAGCUCAGGUGCCAAUCUUAAAAAAAAAAAAGCCCAAGAGAGAACUAUUGAUCACAAACCCUCCUCAGGGAGCUCUCCCUGACUUCUCGUAGAGGACAUCAGUCACCCCUGCCUUGGUGGUCCACUCAGAGGACCCUUCCAUAUUCCACUCUUCUCCUUGAUGAUACAGACCAAACUAUGUCACAGCCAGCACCACACAUUCUGUUGGUGCUCAAUAGAUGUUCCACAAGCACAUAAGUGAACAAACUCGUGUGCCUUGCACCAAGCAGGAGCCCUCUGAGGAAGAUAGUAUUUUUUCCCUUUUGUUGAUGAGGAAGUCCACGCUGUCCUUCAGCUCUGGGAGAAUUUAAAACCAAAGUCUUAGUAUCCCCGGGCUCUGAGCAGUCUGUUUUUCUCUUUCUCAAACAAAUAAGCUUAAUACGUUUAUAGGUUUGAUUUAUUUUUAUUAGCUUCCAUGCUGGUCAACAUAAAAUAAUUAUAAAUUCAAGAUUACAGUGAAAAUCACUACCAUUUUAAUUUUAAAAAAGUGUAGGAGGUUGUAGGCUGUAUACAGUCUUCCACGUUUUCUCCUGAGAACAUUAAAAAAAAAAUCCUGUCAUGCAGUAGAAAAGGUUUUAAUAGAAAGGGGAAGGAAAAAGGAGAAGACAGUGGGAGCGGGGAGAGUGCGGGCAGGAAUCUGCGAGCUGAAGAGAACCCCCCCAUGAGAAACUGGAAUUCCCAUCAGCUCCGAGAGCAGAAGCAGGGGCGCCAGGUGGGGCCCCUCCAGGCUCUGGGCGGCCUCUCCUCCAGAGGGCGCAGCAGAGACCCCCAUGGCUGGUCGCCGCGGCGCGCCCCCGCCCCCGGAGGUGGACUUCUGGCCUUCCAUGCAGCUACCAGGUUUGGUUCAGGCACACGGAGGGUACUGCCUCUCUGGGCGUCUGUCACCCUUUAAGAGAGCCACUGCCUGGUCCAGAAAAGCGUGUGCUCUUCAGUCACAGCCCACCCCAGGUCUUCCUGACUCCACUGUCCACCUGGCUGUGUGGAUGAGUAAUGGGUCAGCUGGGCCGGCACCUCCCCCUCCGCACCCCGCGGCCUUACAGGUCCCCCCUCCCCGCUUUCCCCCCUCCCCCUCCCCCUCCCUCCCCCCACACAGUCUGGAGGUUGCCACACUGGGAGAAGGGUAAGGCAGGGCACAAUUUGUCUCUGUGUAAUUAUCUGUCAGGUACAGCUUGUGAAAUCUCAGCCAUCUGCCCCCCACCACGCAAGAAAAUAAAUUACACACAUGCACACGGAGACACGGAUAGCACGAUGAUCCUGCCCUCCGCCGCCAGCGGGCUCAGCUCCGGGAGAAAGCUCUGCCACGGCGAGCCCGAGCCGAGGACUGCUGAUUCCUGCACUGCACCAGCCCCCGUCCUCCUCUCUCCCAGGCCCCUAACACUUAAGCUUGCAUCUUUUCAGCCUGAGUUCCUCGCUGGGAAGGAGGGGGAGGUCCAUGUGGCCUCAGAAAUCAAGGGUGUUGAGAAAGAAAACAAACAAAAUUCUUGGCCAUUUCUGAUGAGAUGAGUUGGAGGAGGGGGAGAGGCCUUAGAGUUGCCUGUAAUUUCUAAAAUGCACUGUAAUGUGGCUGCAGAUGCAAUGGACUGAGUCCUUUCUCUGUAAUAGUGAUGGCGACCCCUUUUUAGGAUACAGCCAGUGGGUCCGGGCACUGUGCUAAGCUCCUUACACAUGGCUUUUCAUUGAUCUCCACAAUGAAACCCUGUGGAACUGGUGUUUUUAUCCUCACUGAGAAGAUGAAGAUUUGGAGUUUCAGAGAAGUCAAGUGAUUUGCCCACAGUCACACAGCUGGUUGGACCGGACUCAAGGCCCACCUCUUCAUGAGGAAGGAAUGGAGGGAAUGUGAGGUCUAGCUCGUGGCUGCAGAGGAGCAGGGAGUAGGCUGUUACUUCUUGUGUGAACUUUUGUUUUUCUUCUUUACAAUGUGCGUCAUAUGUUCAUCUUCUCUGAAGCCUCGCGAGAAUUAAAUGAGCUAGCAGGUCUUGGCACUUGUAAGGGCUCAAGAAAUGAGGAGCUUCACCCUUCAGCCUCUCUUCAGUGUCCCUCUGCACACAGGGAGCUCUGUGCUGGGAGACUGGCUGGACACAGAUGCCCUUGAGGACUCAGAGGAGCAUUUUGGGUCAGGAGUCCCAACCCUCGCUGUGCUCAGGACCCCCUGGCAGUCUGGUGAAGCCUAUAGACUCCUCAUAAUGUUCCGAAACGCAUGCACAAUUACCAAGAAGUUCCAAGGAAGCCAGUUUUACUGUCACACAGUUAUAGAAAGAAUCAAAAAACCAAAUUUGUGACAUAGUAAUCUCCCACCUCCUCUAACAGCGCCUUCAAUAACCAGAUCGAACAGCACAUCUCAUCACUACCAGAAUUUCAAAGUUGUGCUGAGUGUAAAUGAUAUUUCCAGAGACCUGCAGCAGUGGAGAGAAUAUGAGAGCAUCUUGAUUUCUAGCAGCGACAGCAGCACAGGUGUGGCCCAUUCUGCUGUAGUAGAGAAAUACUGAAUUCACUUACAGGUUAGUGAGAAGGUAUCCCCUCCAUCCAGGUUCCCAGACCCUCAAAAAUCUCUCCGUGGAUCCCACCUUAGGAGUAGAAGCAAUUGGCUGAAACACAUGUUAAUGUGAAUUAAAAAGUGCAAUUUAGGGGUAGACAAUGGGGGAGAUCAAAGAAAGCCUUCCUUCUGACAGAGAGGGCUUGACAGUAUGCGGGCCUUGCUUUGCUUGGGUCUACCUGGGAGGGCUUUCUGGAAUAUACAAGGUGUUUUUAUGAAUGAGGCAACCAAGGACCAGAGCAGUUGAGUGACAGGCCUGAGAGCCCUAAGGAGGAAGCAGCGAAAGCCGGGCUCAAACUCUUCAGUGCCCCUGACUCUGAUCCCAGGUGGUCUCCACCUCCCUGUGUCCCCAUUUCCCUCUGCCCUCCUCUCUGAAGGUGAACACAGGCCCCCUUUGUUGAGCUCUGCUCUUCCCGCCCCUCCGCACUGCACUGUGCUCUGGAUCUCACGUGGCUCCCACGUGGCUCCGUGGUUCACUGCUGCACAGCUGUGAGGAAACUUUGCUUGUUAGGGUUUGGGCUGGGUGGCAGGAGGGAGCUGGGCUCAGUGGAGUGGGGGCAGCUCCUUCAAGCUGAAGACAAAGGCUGGUUCACUAUUCAGGUGGGAUGAGAAAAAGCCACUGGCAUUUACUGGGGGUGAGGAAGUAGGGACCAGAAGCCCCUGGGCUCCCUAUUAGCGGGAUGGAUAAACCAGGCCAGGUAAAGCCUUUGGCGAUGGAGCUACCCACAGCAUGUCCCUGGGAUGUGAGGGGGAGGGGCUCCUGUACCACCAGUCUUCUGGGUGGAAAGAUUUUGAGCCUUGGACUCAGAGGAUCUGGCUGUACCCCUGACUCGCUUUGGGACCUUGAGCAAGUCACUUUACUUCUUAACCCUGUUUUCUCAACUGUGAAAGAGGACUGAUGAGAGCUUCUUCCUUUCUGCUCUCCGGGGGAGUCAGGGGGUGAAGUGGGCAAAACCUCUUUGUAAGAUCUACAGCGUCACAUGGGUGUUAACUAUUAUUAAGGGGAAAGUGCGCUUCUCCCAGGUCACGUGUGUAUUCUAGAGCCAUCUUGUUUGGACUGAGCUCUAAUUAAAUCAAGGAGACCCAGAAACUCCAAGGAACUUGAUCUUGCUUGACUGCUGCUCCCUUUUGACCCGAGCCAGGCAUUCGUACGUUCUAUGUACACUAAGAAAAGAUCUACCUAUAUAUGUAAAAGGAUUUACCCAUUUGGCUUUCCCUAUGUAAGAUAGAAAUUCUUAAAGGGCCUGUAGCAAACUUCACAAAUAUCCUUUCUGUCUCUCUCCUUAGACACUCAUAAUCCUAUGAAAUGGGUAUUUUUUUUUCUACUUUACAGAUGAGGAAACUGAGGCUUAUUUACACAGGGAAUUAGUGGCCAAGUGGGUCCAGGAGUCCAUCUUCUUAAUCCUUCCAGGAUUUACUUUCAUUAGAAUUAGGACAGACUCACUGUGGAGUGGAGGCAGUGGUGAUAAAAAGGGCCUGGGGAGUUAAGACAGUAUUGGAAUCCUUACUUGAAGGAAGAUUGAUAACCGGAAUUCUUCAGGGGUGUUUCCCUUAUCCUUGGUUUAUCAUCUCUGCUGCCAGGUCAGCUGGUUGGGAAAUGUCACAGCUCCUAAAACAGAGGCUUCAGGGAGAUACUCUCUGAAGUGACUUGUCCUGUUCUGGAAGCGCCAAGAGCUGUUUGUUUGGGUUUUUUGUGUCCUAAGUGCGCUGCUGUUCUGCAUGUGGGGGAUGCUGCCCUCAGGUGGUGAGACAGAUGAACUACAGAUGCACAAACAUACCUGGGCCCUCACCUGCUACCCAUAGGCAUCUUAUCGUGGCAGAGGGCUAUCUAGUAGGAUUGUCACUCACUGUAUGGUGGCCUUGCCUUAGAGAUAUGCCCCAGGCACAGAUGGCGACUUUGUGCAUGAAGACAUUGGCUUCCAGCAGCAAAGCAUCUUCAUACUCUGCAAUGCUUCAUUCCCCAGACCCCAGACUUGUGGCUCUCCAGGGCCCCAGAAAUCACCAGGAACAGCCCUGACAUGAUGUUGGAGAGAGCACUGGUUCAAGAGACAUGCUAUCUGUUCUUAACUCAGUCAUUAACUUACCGUGAAACCAGGUAUUUACCCGAGGUAUCUUUUUUAAGCCUCAAACUAUCCUGUGAGAUAAGUAUUAUGCCCAUCUUGCAGACAAAGAAAUGGAAGAAUAGAGAAUUUACAUCAGCGGUUCUCAAACUUUUUGUUUCAUUUUCCCUUUACACUCUUAACAAUUAUGGACCUUUUGUUUAUGUGGGUUAUAGUUACCCAUAUUUACGGUAUUAGAAAUGAACAUUAAACUUUAAAAAUAGUUACUAAUUCAUAUAAAAAAUAAUAAACUUACUAUAAGUUAACGUAACAUUUAGAGAGAAGAAUGGCAUCGUUUUAUCUUUUUGUAAAUCUCUUUAACACUUGGCUUAUCAGAAGACACGUCUGGUGUGUACACUCAUGAGAAAAUGAGAGUGAGAAGGAAAAUAACAUCUUAAUGUUUUUAUGAAAAUAGUUUCAACCUUGUAGAUCCCCUGAGAGGGUCCUGGGGGACCCCCGGGAUUAAAUAAUUCGCCUGUGGACGCACAGCCGGUGGCAAGUGGCGGAGCCGGGAGGCCACGCCGGCUUGUCCGGCCUCACGGUACACACUCUCGCAGCUAUCCCACACUCACCGCCUGCUCACUCACCCUCUCCGGGCAUCAGGGGCCACCUCUGUAAAAUGAUAGUGGAGUCCUGGAUGGCCUAAGGCCCUUCUGGCGCUGACACUUCACGAUUCUGUCCGGAUGACUGCAGCUCUGGGCAGUUCCGACUCGCCGGCUGCCGCCCACUUAGGGAAUCGCGGCAGUCGCGCCUCAGUGAGCUGGAACGGUGCGAGCGUCUAAAGGAACAGCGAAAGACUAGGGGCGUCUCCGUCCGCUCUCACAUGCACUUGAGAAGACAGCUCUGUGAGUCCUACACUUUUCCGAGAAAAGAGGGUCUCACCCCACCCCCAGCUUGUGGCUUCACCCGUUUCAACCUCUGACACAGCCGCUCAGUGCUCAGGGCUGGGAGAACGGGAACGGGGUGAAGGUUUUCCAUCCUAUGGCUUGCUUUUAGACAAAGUUCUGAGGAUGGACUCCUCUGAAUUCCACGUCCCCUCCCUCCUCACGAAUACCCUUAAAAAACUAUUGAGCGGAGAAAGGUUUAUAGAAGGGCUUUUCAGGGAGAAGGCAUAGAAUGCUCAAAGUCACAGAAACAGGAAAGCACUGGGGGCUUUGAAAAGUUUUGUUGUUGAACUAACGUGUUAACUAGUCUUCUUGACUCAUUCUCUCCUUAUUCCCAUUCGUCGUAAACACUGACUGUGCCAGAUUGAUCUUCAGUGUUAAUUUUACUUGUCCCUCUCCUUUGUCAGAAACCUUCCUGGCUCCCUCUUGGUUGAAAUCAAACACUCUAGUCUGGCAUUCAAGGCUCUUUACCACUGGCUGGUCCUCUUUUCUAAACCUGAUUUCCAUUGUUCCCCUACAUGCAUCAUGUGGCUCUCUCACUGUCCCUUGUCAUGCCUCACGUGCUCCCUUCCACAGUUAAGUCCAGGCUGUCCCUUUCUCUGACACUUCACCUGCUUCAGGAAGUCCUCCCUGAUUGAUCUAGCCCAUAGGGCACCUCAGGCUUUGGAAUGCCUAGAGCAUUCCAUUAGUACCCCAGCCUUGGCCUUUCUCAGAAACCACCUGGGCUUGUUACUGUCCCAAGGAAAGCCCUCAGCCUUAUCUGGACCAGCAGCUUCCUGAGGGAGCAAGCAGCGUCUUAUUCCUCUUCACUGCCUCCUGCCUGUGGUUCCUGUAUCCCACUGGAUGCUUUAUGGUGGCUGGUUCUUGUUGACUUGCUCCCUGCAGAUUCAGGACCUGGAGCUGCAGACAGACCUCUCUGAAGAAGCUGGGGAGAAGCCAGAGGAGAAACAGAGGAAGACGCAGGGCACCCCAGGCACAAGAGAACAGCACAAAUUCAUGCUAGUGACAUUUCAGAGCCAAGACUGCUCAUAGAGAAAGAAGAGCUGCCUCAAAGCAGGGGAUGUGAUGUCUUAUUCCAGGACAACUGUGGGAGGCAGCCUGGGAGGGGAAAGAUAAUCCAGCUCUACUGUGAAACUUUAGGCAGAUACUCACCCUCUCUGUUUGAGCCUCACCUUCCCUUCUGUAGGAGGGAUAAUGUCCUUCUUAUAGGAUAGUUAAGCAGAAUGAGAUACUAUAAAGACCCAGCAUGUAAUUGAUGCUCAAUAGUACAUACUUUAAAAAUUAUAAAAUUUCCAGCUCAGGAGACCUUCUGGAUAAGAAUUCCCCAUUAUUGUCGAUGACUUGAUUAUUGCCCUUUAGAGACGAACUAUCCAGCUCUCAGAAUAUAAGGGAGAGGGGAUCCCUCUGCCUUGUUGCAGGGACCAGGUUUGCUGAUGUUUGCUGCCAUCAUGUGGCCAUAAGCUUACAGUGCAGUCUGGCUGGUUUGUCAGUAAGUUCCCAGUAAGGAUAAAACUGAGGAGAUUUGGGGUGUGUGAGGAGUUUGAAGAGUAAGGAGAUCCUGGAGGACAGAAUACAAUGGAAGGAGGGUGUCUUAGAGUCCCUGGGAAGUACGGAACAUCCCAGCCCAGGAGUCUUAUAAUACAUGCACCCAGCUGUUAAAGCAAUGUCCAAUGGGAAGGACCCUUGGAGGACAUCCCCCACCCCCCUCCGCGGCCUGUCUCCUGUCUCCCAUUAGUGUUGCCCACCAGAGUUUUGUGACAUCCAGUCCCACCUAUGUCUCCAGCUUCCUAGUGCUCCAUUCUCAAGCUCUUUCUGUGCUCCAGAACCCUGUCUUUCUAUCCCAUUAAGACAGCAAACUCCUGCAUUACAGGCCUCUGCACAUGCUGAUCUCUCUGUCUAGAAUGUCGUGCCCUUCUGCCCCACUCCACCUGUUUAAUUUUCACCUGUUCCUCAUCUCUCAGUCCAAGCAUGACUUCCUCAGGUAAGCCUUCUCCAGACUAGGUCAGUUUCCUUUGAUAGAUGCUCUCAUAAAGCCAAAAUCUUUUUCAGAGCAGUUUUCUCAGUUUAUAAUUAAGCAUUCAUCUAUGUGAUUGGUUCAUUAACAUCUCUCUCUCACUAUGCUGUACAGGCUUUAGGGGAGAGAAGGUGGGACCCCUUUCUCUUGUAUCCCUGGCACCCAGGACAGAGUCCGAUACAUGUCAAGAGCUCACUAAAGUUUGUUGGAUGAAUAGGGGCAUUUGCAGGGUAGGAGAGAAAGAUCUGGAGAGUGUUGGGAGUGCUGAGGAUCUGUCUGCCAACUCUGAGGCAUGCACAGGCCUUUUGUGGAACUCCUCAUCAACAAAGAGAUGUGUGGAAACCAGGCUCACUCAUGUCAAUUCACCAUUCCCCACUCCACCCCACCCCUACUUCCCAAGCAGGCGUGCUGGACUGAGAAGGGGCAUGGGUAGCCAGCUCAAGGGGAAUGCCAGCCAGCCUCUGAUAGAGGGGGCCCAUGCUGCCAGGGGGAAGGGAUUAUGUCUUCCUUGACUGUGAGAUUCUCAGUGCCACUGCCAGCCACCCAUGAUCUGUCUCUGCUGAAGCUGGUCAACCACAGAGGUGAUCACCCCACUAUGACCAGGCACUCAAGGAGACAGGUGGGAACCCUCCCUGACUGGAGUGGGGUCCCCUUGGGUCUGGUAGCAAUACUAACCUCUCCUCAGCACCACGUGACCAAGCUCCUUAAUGUUUAUGAGUUAAAGCAGAAGUGAAAGAGUGAUGCAUGGGUUUGAGACACAGAUUACACGGCCCAGCUACCAGGGGGAUUUAUUCUUAGAGAGGGCUGAACACAGUCUCUGAUUCUAAGAUUUGGGAAAAGCUUUUUCUUUUUUUUUUAGAGAUUUUAUUUUUUCCUUUUCCUCCCCAAAGCCCCCUGGUACAUAGUUGUGUAUUUCAGUUGUGGGUCCUUUUAGUUGUGGCAUGUGGGGUGCCGCCUCAGCAUGGCCUGAUGAGCGGUGCCAUGUCCACGCCCAGGAUCUGAACCGGCGAAACCCUGGGCCACUGCAGCGGAGCGCGGGAACUUAACCACUUGGACAUGGGGCCGGCCCCUGGGAAAAGCUUUAGAGGGAAGGACUGUUGGCUUGAGACUCCAGAGUCAAGUGCAUGUGAGGAGGGAGUCAAGGGGAUACCUGAUAGGAUGCUCCUAGGAGGAAGGGUUAACAAUGGUGUUGCACAUAGAGGUUUUUCUCCUAGAAAAGUAUUCAUCCCUUCCAAGCAGAUGGUCAAAUGUUCUUGAGGAUAAGUCAAGCCUAAUUGGAUGUGAGUAUGAAUUUUAAAAACACUGCCUCUUUAAUUUGGAUUUCAUUUGAAAAGGGAGUUAAUUUUUUCCAAACUCAGAAAAGAUUUAAAAAAUGAAAUAAAAUUAUCAUUUUAGAAUGUGAUAUUUUAAAAAUUUGCCAACCCACAAAGUUGAGGAUGGAGAAGAAGAAAAAAAAGUACAUGGUGCUUCAAAUCAUUAUUUGGGAAGAAAUACUGUUUAUUCCCAGAAUUACGUGAAGAGGAGAGAGAACUUUACCUGGAAUUCAAAGUAGUGAGCUGUUCCAUUUCAAAGAUCUUCUCAAACUGAUCUUCCAGUAUAGCUUCAUUGUAGAGUUUGAGAUGUUGUGAGCGCCCAAUAAUUUCAAUAUCCCUAAGUCAACACAUGCUCAAUUUAAAAAGGAAAAUUUGGGCUUUGUAAUCAAUUUUUAAUUCUCCAUGUGUUUGUUAAUGCAGAAAUCAAGAGCCGUUUAUAAUUUUAGUCUAGAAAAUCUACAGAAGACAUUCAAACUCAGGAGCCUGGACAAGGCAAAGAACGGCAGGAUGAGAGUGAGUUAUCAUGGAGGUGGUAGAGGAGGAAAAUGACGCCUGGGGGGAGCAUCUGGCGUUGGGAGAAUUGGGUGGUUAGAGCAGCUGUUCCUUCUCAGGCUCUAAGCUCUAAAACAGCUCCAAGAUGGCCCUGCCUUUUGGACCUCCAGGUCUUCACCUCAAUAGAGUCUCCACUAAGAAUCAUAGAUCUUCAUGCCUGCAAUGUUGCCUCCUUUCUUGGGUCUGGCUGUCUAUUCUUGUUGCCUUGUCUUUGAUUACUUUCCAGGCCAGGAUGAGUAGAGCCACCAGAGUUAUUAGGAGUGCAAAGAAGAAGAGAACUUUUACUAGGUAAGCAGGAUCAGAUAUGGCAGUGCACCCUUGUCCCAUAAGAAGGCUGGAAGUUGUGGGGAAGACACAGGUUCUCAGGGACUUGAGAUACGUGGUAUAAGCAGACUGCCCAUACAACCAAGAAAACUCUAAGAGAAUUGGGCUUGCUCUUUGUUAUAUCUUAGGAUGGGUGCGGGGCUGUGGCCACUUAUCUGUUGAUCCUGUUGAUCAUGUGGGGCCAUUUUCUUUCGGAUGUGACUGAGCAGGCAGAGAAGUUUGCUCAGCAAGGUUGAACAACUGCUCAUAAUGUCAUCACAGUUCUGAGGUGAUAGUUCAACUGGCAAAACUUCUGGGUGGUGGGUGGGGCUUCUGAGGCUUUGUGAUGUCACCUGAAGGUGAGGCUAGGGUCUGAAUGGAAGGUUCUAGUCCAGAAAACUCUACCCUCUGAGCAUCACCUCCCUUCAUGUCUGGCCUCCAGAUUGAAAAGAGAAUUUCCCAAUUGCCUGUGAAGAUGCCCUGUCAAUCCUUUUUUAUCUUUCUUACUUUUCAUUUUGAAAUAAUUUUAGGUAUAUAAGAAGUUGCAAAGACAAUACAGAGAGGUCCCAUGUACCCUUCACCCAGUGUCCCCCAAUGGCUAAUCCUGUGUAACUGUAGUACAAAAUCAAAACCAGUGAAUGGACAUUGGAACAAAUCUGUGCAUAUAGUUCUAUGGCAUUUUAUCAUACAUGUAGAUUCUUGUAACUAUCACCAAAAUCAAGAUAUAGAACAAUUCCGUCACCAUGAAGAUCUCCUAGUGUUCACUUUCUACCAGUUGGAGACAGAUAUAGAGAACUUACCUCCCAUUAUGUCUCUUUACACUCUUCCAUUUAUAAUAUAAUUUUAUUAAAUAUUUCCUCUAUAUACAUUGAAAUUCACAUUUAAACAAUGUUAUGCUUUUUUUUUUUGGCUGAGGAAGAUUAGCCCUGAGCUAACAUCUGUUGCCAAUCCUCCUUUUUUGCUUGAGGAAGGUUAGCCCUGAGGUAACAUCUGUGCCAAUCUUCCUCCACUUUAUAUGUGGGUCACUGCCACAGCAUGGCUGAUGACUGAUAUAGGUUGGGGCCCAGGAUCCAAACCCAUGAACCUGGGCUGCCAAAGCAGACCAUAUCAAAUUUAACCACUAUGCCACAGGGCCAGCCGCAAGACAAUGUAUGCUUUUUGCUUCAACUGUCAAAUAUAAUUUAGGAAACACAAGAUGAGAAGAAAAGUCUAUUGUACUUACCCAAUUUAUUGUUGUCCAGCUUAGGUCAUGUAUAUUGUUCUGACUUCAAGUUCACUGAUUCUUUUGUCCACUUCAUUUUGCUAUUGAAUCCAUCCAUUUAGUGUUCUCUUUUUUGUGUGUGAGAAAGACUGGCCCUGAGCUAACAUUUGUACCAGUUGUUGUCUAUUUUGUAUGUGGUACACUGCCACAGUGUGGCUUGAUGAGUAGUGUAUAGGUCUGUGCCCAGCAUCCAAACCUGUGAACCCCAGACAGCCAAAGCAGGGCAUGCAAACUUAACCACUACACCACCAGGCCAGCCCCUAUCCACUGAAUUUUUUAUUUUGGUAAUUUUGUUUUUCAGUUCUAAAAUUCCCAAUUUGGUUCUUUUUGUAUAUCUUCAAUUUCUUCACCAAGAUUUUCUUUUCUUUAGUUGUUUCAAGUGUAUUCAUAAUUGUUUGUUGAAGCAUUUUUGAUUCUUCAAAAUCUUUGUCAGAUAAUUCCAAUAUCUGUAUCAUCUUGGUGGUGGCAUCUGCUGAUUAUCUUUUAGUUGAGAUUUUCCUGGUUCUCAAUAUGAUGUACGAUUUUGAUUGCAUGCCAGACAUUUUGGGUGUUAUGAGAUUCUGGACCUUAUUUAAAUCUUCUGUUUUAGCUAGAUUCUUCUGAAUAGUCCCAAUUGUAGGUGGGGGACGUUGCCUCACUAAUGCCAGGCAGGGGUGAAGGUCCAGGUUCUCCACUCAGCCUUGUCAACCCAGGGUGGGGCAGGGGAGGUAACUCCUCAUUGCUGGCUGGUUGGGGAAUUUCAGACUCCCCAGGGAGGCUCCUCUGACACUCUGUCAGGGAGGGGGAAGGGCACCUUUUUACCUUUAGGUGGGGAGCUCCUUACCUCUGGGCAGGGAUGAAAGUCCUUGCUCCCUACUCUGUCUUUUCUGAUACUACACUGGCAAGGGGUGAGGAAUGGGGAAGAGUACCUCAUUACAGCUGGGCAAGGGUGGAAACCUAGGGUUCCUGCUUGGUCUUUGCUUAUGGGGUGGCGGUGGGGCCAUGAUUUUUUCCAUGGUGUUUGGCUGGAGUAGGGCAGUUACUGCCUAAAAGUUAUCUUUCUUGAUGGAUUGCUUUUCCUACUCCUUUGGCUAGAGACAGCAAACAGGCUUUUCUUGAGACUUUAUUUUGUCUGUGCCCAUUGGCAUUUCCAGGUUGCUUCUCCAGCACCCAGUCCAGGAUAGAUGAGGCAAGAAGAAAACCCAGGGAACUGUCAUGCUGACCUUUGGGUUCCAAGGUCCCUAGUCAGUCUGCCUUCUUCUUCUCAACUUUCAGAGUCUUCUUAUGUUGGUUUUAUAUAAAAUGUCCACGGUUUUUAACUGUGCUUAGCAGGAGGAACAGGGAGAACUGAAUUUACUCCAAGUGCAUCUACUCCAUUGUGGUCUGGAACCUCUGGAUGCCAUAUCAAGAUUCAGGCAGGUGACAACAGAAUGGGAGCCACAGGAUUUGCAGUCCAAGGACUCAGGUUGGAGUCCAGCACUCACACUUCCCAGAAUUCGCGAACUUGGUUAGGUCAUUUAAUCUCUCUGAGCCUCCAUUUACUCAUCAGAAAUGGAAUUAUAAUACCAAAUUUAUAGGUUUUUAUGGGACUGAAAUGAGCUGAUAAAUGCAUAAUAACUUUUCAAACCAUAAGAUUGCAUACAAAUCUAAGUUAUUUUAAAUAAGAACUAGUAUGGAAGGGAAGUGAAGAGGGGGUGACUGGAGAAUAUAAGGCAGUUCAGCUUUUCUCAAGUUGGUUCCAACUCUCCUAUAAACUUGCAAAGGUCUGUAAAUGAAUUACCGCCUCCCCCACCCCCAGCCCCCGGAUAUCUAUGUCAAUUCCCUGGAUCAUGUGAAUGUUACCUUAUAGGGCAAAAGGUGUGAUUAUGUUGAGGAUCUUGAGAGGAGGAGGUUAUCCUAGAUUAUCCCAGUGGGUCCUAAAUACAGUCACAUGUAUCCUUCUAAGAAAGAAGAGAAGGUAAUUUUGAGAGAAGCAAACACACGGAGGAGAAGGAGCUGUGAAGACAGAGCAGAGAGAGAUGCAGCCACAAGCCAAGGAACAACCACAGCCACCAAAAGCUGGAAAAGGCAAGGAAUGGAUUCUCCCCUGCAGCGUCUGAAGCAAGCAAGGUAUUGACGAUACCUUGAUUUUGGACUUCUGGCUUCCAGAACUGUAUGUCUGGGUCUCAGAAUAUUUCCAUGGUAUCAGAGCAUCCUGAAACAUUAUAAGAAAGGGAGAAGGCACCCUGACAGAAACAUUCAAGAAAAUAUUGAAGAGAGAAAAUACUUUCGGAGGCCUUUGGGGAGGAUAACUGCACAUGCUCUGCAGAUGUUGCCUAAUUUACCAGGAAAAUAAAUGGGGCCAAUUUGACCCAUGAACUCUAGGUGGCAGUUCUGUUUGAACUGAAUAAGUUGGUCAGCCAUGAAUACUCCUCUGUCAGUAUCUCCUCCCCACAUCCCCUUACCACUGUUUUUCACUCAGCCUCGCUACUAUUUGGCCCAAACAUCACCCCUGUCGCUUUCUCAGAGUUAAGCUCUCCCUCCUGUGUUCUCAUAUCCGCAUGUACUUAUAUUUGUGAUUAGAGUAUCAUGGUCUCAGCUUGUCUCAAACUCUAGUUCUUUUACCCACCUGUUUGAUCAGCUCCUUCGUGCUCUUGUCUUGGCCAUAAAUGAAAGUAAAAACUACAUCAGCUGAGGAGGAAAGGGUUUGUCCACAAUGCCUUUCACCUUGAUGUUUGCCUUAGCUUCUGGUCUCAUUUACUCUGGGAAGUCUGUUCUGAGCCCCCAAAUCCCCAGGCUGAGUUAGGGGCCUCUCCCAGACUUGUUUGCCCCUACUUUAGCACUUCAUUACACUAUUAUAUUUCCAGAUUUGGGUGUAUGUCCACCUCACUGAAUAUAAGCUCCUUGAGAGCAUGGGACUACGUCCUAUUCACCGUUGUGUUCCUGGUACCUGGUGUACAAUCAACGCUCAAUAAAUACUCUUUGAAGGAAUAGGAGAUCGAAUGCGAAGCUCUUAUCUUCACUAAAGCCCUUUUAAACCUUCUUACUUCCCUUUCCACCAUCAUUUUUCCAUAACUCUGCGCUUCCCCUCCACCCAAUUCCAGUCUUCCAUUAAUUACUUAAACCCAGUCUGCUUGUCACCAGCUACAUGGAAAAGUGCUGGAUAUUGCUUCUGGUAUCAAGAUCUGUCAGAAAUACAUAUAUAUUUUUCUUCUAGUCUUAGAUUUAUUUUAUUAAAUUAAAUAUUAAAACUAUAGAUCUUGAAUUGGUAUUAUUUGAAGAUGGAAUUUCCCAGGUAGAAUAGUUUCUUGCUUGUUGCUGACGUUGAAAUGCCAGCAAUUUUUGUAAAUAUGGUCAACUCCGAGUCAUAUCCUUGUGAAGAGAAGAGGUCUGAGAAGAGGCUGAAAUCUCUUUAGUUUGGGAGCUGUGUUUUCAUUUGAUUAUAUUUAAUGUUGGGCAGUCAUGCCACUUCCCAGCAUAUCAUGACACUACAUUGAGAAGUCUCAAUUUAGGAGGCACUAAAAACUUCCUUAUUUUACUCCACUCUCAACUUCUGUCAUCCUUCUAGCUAUA